UUCCUACGGGGGGCAGCAGUGGGGAAUAUUGCACAACGGGGGAAACCCUGAUGCAGCAACGCCGCGUGAGUGAAGAAGUCAUUCGUGAUGUAAAGCUCUAUCAGCAGGGAAGAAAAUGACGGUACCUGAGUAAGAAGCCCCGGCUAACUACGUGCCAGCAGCCGCGGUAAUACGUAGGGGGCAAGCGUUAUCCGGAUUUACUGGGUGUAAAGGGAGCGUAGACGGCCAGACAAGUCUGAAGUG
rnacentral:rRNA from 1 species